rnacentral:misc_RNA from 1 species
AAAUGCGCUAAGUAAUGUGAAUUGCAGAAUUCAGUGAAUCAUCGAAUCUUUGAACGCACAUUGCGCCCGCCAGUAUUCUGGCGGGCAUGCCUGUUCGAGCGUCAUUUCAACCCUCAAGCCCCCGGGUUUGGUGUUGGGGAUCGGGCUGCGGUUCUACCGCGUCCCGGCCCCGAAAUCUAGUGGCGGUCUCGCUGCAGCCUCCAUUGCGUAGUAGCUAACACCUCGCAACUGGAACGCGGCGCGGCCAAGCCGUUAAACCCCCAACUUCUGAAUGUUGACCUCGGAUCAGGUAGGAAUACCCGCUGAACUUAAGC